AAUCGAGCGAUGAGCGGAACGAGUAGUGCUUAUCUCCCUGCGAACAGAGAGCUAGUGGUUGGUGCGAACUAGCGCAUAGAUGAGCAUGAAUUACCUCCGUGAGCAUCUUUUGUGAACCGCUUAUGCGAAGUAGCAAAAGACGGUGUGGACCGUUAUGUCAAUGAAGUGAGAGAACACGUACGUUCUCUAAGUAGGGUGGUACCGCGAUAAAACUCGUCCCUUCG
rnacentral:ncRNA from 1 species